UGCCAAUGAUGACACCACACUAACUGAGC
rnacentral:piRNA from 1 species